CCUACGGGAGGCAGCAGUGAGGAAUAUUGGUCAAUGGACGGAAGUCUGAACCAGCCAUGCCGCGUGCAGGAAGACGGCUCUAUGAGUUGUAAACUGCUUUUGUACAAGGGUAAACCUGAAUACGUGUAUUCAGCUGAAAGUACUGUACGAAUAAGGAUCGGCUAACUCCGUUCCAGCAGCCGCGGUAAGACGGAGGAUCCAAGCGUUAUCCGGAUUUAUUGGGUUUAAAGGGUGCGUAGGCGGAUUGAUAAGUUAGAGGUGAAAUGUCCGGGCUUAACUCGGGAACUGCCUCUAAUACUGGUGAUCGAGAGUGUGGGUGCGGAAGGUGGAAUGUAUGGUGUAGCGGUGAAAUGCUUAGAGAUCAUACAGAACACCGAUUGCGAAGGCAGCUAACCAAUCUAUAUCUGACGUUGAGGAACGAAAGCGUGGGGAGCAAACAGGAUUAGAGACCCUGGUAGUC
rnacentral:rRNA from 1 species